CAGAGAGCCAACAAGGAAUUCCAUUAAUAACUGGCCAUUUUGAUCCUUUGGAACAACUCGAUGAAUUUAGUAGAUUGUUUUAGGAGGCCUUAAUGACUAUAGAUCGAACCUAUCCAACUUUUACAGUACGAUGGUUGGCUGUUCACGGCCUAGCUGUACCUACCGUCUUUUUUUUGGGAUCAAUAUCAGCAAUGCACAGUACGAUGGUUGGCUGUUCACGACCUAGCUGUACCUACCAUCUUUCUUUUGGGAUCAAUAUCAGCAAUUCAGUUCAUCCAAUGAUAAACUUAAUCUGAAUUAUAGAGCUAUGA
rnacentral:lncRNA from 1 species